UAUAUACAUAUAUAUCUCUAUAUGUAAAUGAAGUUAGAUUUAUAAAUGUGUAUAGUUAUAUAGUAAGAGGAAUAGGAAUGUUUAGAUGGAGAGAUUGAUGGAUAGAUUGUUGUUUGUGUAGGCCUAGGCUGCAUUUGUACCUCUUUCCCCCUCGGCUGCCUUUUUCACCUCUUGCUUUUCCCCCGGUGCCCCCUGUGUCCCCUGUCCCUGUGCUGGGUCCGAGCUGGCGGCCGGGCCGGGCGGAGCAGCACUUCCAGCCCCGGCUGUCCCUGGAGCGGUGGGAGCUGCCGCUGGCCCCAGGCACUGUCCCCUGAGGAGCUGCUGAAGGACGCUGCAAGGAAGACCUUGAGGAGAGCCAGAGACUGACGGGAGGCAGCAGGGAGGAGCUGAAGGCCAGCAGCAAGAGCAGUGAACGGGGACCUGCUGCUGCCAGCCUGGAGAGAGCCCGGAUGUCCCAUCUGCUGUCGCUGUCCAGGAGAGCUGCUCUGCACGGGAGGAGGAGACCGAGGGAGAGGCUUUGAAGGUGGGGCAGCUGGGAUCCCUCUGCUUGGAGUUCCAUGUAGACAUGUCCAGAAGUGCACAUAGAGAUGGAUUAUCAUUUGGAUAUGUACAUAUGUGGGUUGCUAUUUGUAUAGGACUAUUUCUGUAUGUAUGGUGUUCAGGGAUGUAUGCUCUGUAUAUAUGUAUGAUUAUACAUACAUAUAUGUUUGUAAUUACAUCUACGUGUAUAUUUGUAUCUAAGUAUACAUGGAUGUUGUUAUAUCUGUGUUUAGUUCUGUUUCCUAUUUAUACAGUUGUGUUGCUAUUUAUUUCUAUUGAUGCAGCUA